rnacentral:rRNA from 1 species
UGAUCCUGGCUCAGAUUGAACGCUGGCGGCAGGCUUAACACAUGCAAGUCGAGCGGGGGAAGGUAGCUUGCUACCGGACCUAGCGGCGGACGGGUGAGUAAUGCUUAGGAAUCUGCCUAUUAGUGGGGGACAACAUCUCGAAAGGGAUGCUAAUACCGCAUACGUCCUACGGGAGAAAGCAGGGGAUCUUCGGACCUUGCGCUAAUAGAUGAGCCUAAGUCGGAUUAGCUAGUUGGUGGGGUAAAGGCCUACCAAGGCGACGAUCUGUAGCGGGUCUGAGAGGAUGAUCCGCCACACUGGGACUGAGACACGGCCCAGACUCCUACGGGAGGCAGCRGUGGGGAAUAUUGGACAAUGGGGGGAACCCUGAUCCRGCCAUGCCGCGUGUGUGAAG